rnacentral:rRNA from 1 species
AGAGUUUGAUCCUGGCUCAGGACGAACCCGCUGGCGGGCGUGCUUAACACAUGCAAGUCGAGCGGGGAUUGAUGGAGUGCUUGCACAAAAUCAAUUCUAGCGGCGGACGGGUGAGUAACGCGUGAGCAAUCUGUCCUACACAGGGGGAUAACACUUGGAAACAGGUGCUAAUACCGCAUAAGACCACGAGGUCGCAUGGCCAUGAGGUAAAAGAUUUAUCGGUGUAGGGUGAGCUCGCGUCCCAUUAGCUAGUUGGUGAGGUAACGGCCCACCAAGGCGACGAUGGGUAGCCGACCUGAGAGGGUGAUCGGCCACAUUGGAACUGAGACACGGUCCAGACUCCUACGGGAGGCAGCAGUGGGGAAUAUUGGGCAAUGGGCGCAAGCCUGACCCAGCAACGCCGCGUGAAGGAAGAAGGUUUUCGGAUUGUAAACUUCUGUUCCUUGGGGACGAAGAAAGUGACGGUACCCAUAGGAGGAAGCCCCGGCUAACUACCGUGUGCCAGCAGCCGCGGU